AGUGAACGCUGGCGGUAGGCCUAACACAUGCAAGUCGAACGGCAGCACAGUAAGAGCUUGCUCUUACGGGUGGCGAGUGGCGGACGGGUGAGGAAUACAUCGGAAUCUACUUUUUCGUGGGGGAUAACGUAGGUAAACUUACGCUAAUACCGCAUACGACCUACGGGUGAAAGCAGGGGAUCUUCGGACCUUGCGCGAUUGAAUGAGCCGAUGUCGGAUUAGCUAGUUGGCGGGGUAAAUGCCCACCAAGUCGACGAUCCGUAGCUGGUCUGAGAGGAUGAUCAGCCACACUGGAACUGAGACACGGUCCAGACUCCUACGGGAGGCAGCAGUGGGGAAUAUUGGACAAUGGGCGCAAGCAUGAUCCAGCCAUACCGCGUGGGUGAAGAAGGCCUUCGGGUUGUAAAGCCCUUUUGUUGGGAAAGAAAAGCAGCAGGUUAAUACCCCGCUGUUCUGACGGUACCCAAAGAAUAAGCACCGGCUAACUUCGUG
rnacentral:rRNA from 1 species